AGAGUUUGAUCAUGGCUCAGGAUGAACGCUAGCGGCAGGCCUAAUACAUGCAAGUCGAACGGUUGUAGCGAUACAAUAGUGGCGCACGGGUGCGUAACACGUAUGCAACCUACCUUAUAGACGGGGAUAGCCUUUGGAAACGGAGAUUAAUACCCGAUAGUACUAUUGACUGGCAUCAGUUAAUAUUUAAAGAUUUAUCGCUAUAAGCUGGGCAUGCGUCCAAUUAGUUAGUUGGUUAGGUAACGGCUGACCAAGACGAUGAUUGGUAGGGGAACUGAGAGGUUAAUCCCCCACACUGGCACUGAGAUACGGGCCAGACUCCUACGGGAGGCAGCAGUAGGGAAUAUUGGGCAAUGGAGGCAACUCUGACCCAGCCAUGCCGCGUGCGGGAUGAAGGCGUUAUGCGUUGUAAACUGCUUUUAUAUAGGAAGAAACAGACCUUGCGAGGUAAUUUGACGGUACUAUAUGAAUAAGCACCGGCUAACUCCGUGCCAGCAGCCGCGGUAAUACGGAGGGUGCAAGCGUUGUCCGGAUUUAUUGGGUUUAAAGGGUGCGUAGGCGGUUUAUUAAGUCAGUGGUGAAAGACGGUCGCUCAACGAUUGCAGUGCCAUUGAUACUGGUAGACUUGAGUGAGAUUGAGGUAGCUGGAAUGGAUAGUGUAGCGGUGAAAUGCAUAGAUAUUAUCCAGAACACCAAUUGCGUAGGCAAGUUACUAAGUCUCAACUGACGCUGAGGCACGAAAGUGUGGGUAUCAAACAGGAUUAGAUACCCUGGUAGUCCACACUGUAAACGAUGAUAACUAACUGUUGGCUUUCGGGUCAGUGGUACAGAGAAAUCGUUAAGUUAUCCACCUGGGGAGUACGCCGGCAACGGUGAAACUCAAGGAAUUGACGGGGUCGCACAGCGGUGGAGCAUGUGGUUUA
rnacentral:rRNA from 1 species